AAAUCUGCCUUCAACACUGGGAUAACUCCGGGAAACCGGGGCUAAUACCGGAUAUGAAACCUGCGGGCAUCCGCGGGUUUGGAAAGUUUUUCGGUUGAAGAUGAUCUCGCGGCCUAUCAGCUUGUUGGUGAGGUAAUGGCUCACCAAGGCGACGACGGGUAGCCGGCCUGAGAGGGCGACCGGCCACACUGGGACUGAGACACGGCCCAGACUCCUACGGGAGGCAGCAGUGGGGAAUAUUGGGCAAUGGAGGAAACUCUGACCCAGCGACGCCGCGUGCGGGAUGAAGGCCUUCGGGUUGUAAACCGCUUUCAGCAGGGAAGAAGCGAAAGUGACGGUACCUGCAGAAGAAGCACCGGCUAACUAUGUGCCAGCAGCCGCGGUAAUACAUAGGGUGCAAGCGUUGUCCGGAAUUAUUGGGCGUAAAGAGCUCGUAGGUGGUUCGUCACGUCGGAUGUGAAACUCUGGGGCUUAACCCCAGACCUGCAUUCGAUACGGGCGAGCUUGAGUAUGGUAGGGGAGUCUGGAAUUCCUGGUGUAGCGGUGGAAUGCGCAGAUAUCAGGAGGAACACCAAUGGCGAAGGCAGGACUCUGGGCCAUUACUGACACUGAGGAGCGAAAGCGUGGGGAGCGAACAGGAUUAGAUACCCUGGUAGUCCACGCCGUAAACGGUGGGCACUAGUUGUGGGGACCUUCCACGGUCUCUGCGACGCAGCUAACGCAUUAAGUGCCCCGCCUGGGGAGUACGAUCGCAAGAUUAAAACUCAAAGGAAUUGAC
rnacentral:rRNA from 1 species